rnacentral:rRNA from 1 species
UACGUAGGGUGCAAGCGUUGUCCGGAAUUAUUGGGCGUAAAGAGCUCGUAGGCGGUCUGUCGCGUCUGCUGUGAAAACUCAGGGCUUAACCCUGAGCUUGCAGUGGGUACGGGCAGACUAGAGUGAUGUAGGGGAGACUGGAAUUCCUGGUGUAGCGGUGGAAUGCGCAGAUAUCAGGAGGAACACCGGUGGCGAAGGCGGGGUCUCUGGGCAGUAACUGACGCUGGAGGAGCGAAAGCCGUGGGGAGCGAACAGG